GACGAACGCUGGCGGCGUGCUUAACACAUGCAAGUCGAACGGAAAGGCCCUGCUUUUGUGGGGUGCUCGAGUGGCGAACGGGUGAGUAACACGUGAGUAACCUGCCCUUGACUUUGGGAUAACUUCAGGAAACUGGGUCUAAUACCGGAUAGGAGCUCCUGCUGCGCGGUGGGGGUUGGAAAGUUUCGGCGGUAGGGGCUGGACUCGCAGCUUAUCAGCUUGUUGGUGGAGUAGUGGUUUACCAAGGCUUUGACGGGUAGCCGGCCUGAGAGGGUGACCGGGCACAUUGGGCCUACGAUACGGACCAGACUGCUACGGGAGGCAGCAGUCGGGAAUCUUGCACAAUGGGCGGAAGCCUGAUACAGCAACGUCGCGUGCGGGAUGCCGGGCUUCGGGUUGUAAACCGCUUUCGCCUGUGACGAAGCGUGCGUGACGGUAAUGGGUAAAGAAGCACCGGCUAACUACGUG
rnacentral:rRNA from 1 species